GACGAACGCUGGCGGCGUGCUUAACACAUGCAAGUCGAGCGGUAAGGCCCUUUCGGGGGUACACGAGCGGCGAACGGGUGAGUAACACGUGGGUGACCUGCCCUCAGCUCUGGGAUAAGCCUGGGAAACCGGGUCUAAUACUGGAUAUGACUCCAUGACGCAUGUUGUGGGGUGGAAAGCCUUGUGCGGCUGAGGAUGGGCCCGCGGCCUAUCAGCUUGUUGGUGGGGUGANGGCCUACCAAGGCGACGACGGGUAGCCGGCCUGAGAGGGCGACCGGCCACACUGGGACUGAGACACGGCCCAGACUCCUACGGGAGGCAGCAGUGGGGAAUCUUGCGCAAUGGGCGAAAGCCUGACGCAGCGACGCCGCGUGAGUGAUGAAGGCCUUAGGGUUGUAAAGCUCUUUCGAC
rnacentral:rRNA from 1 species